UACGAAGGGGGCUAGCGUUGCUCGGAAUCACUGGGCGUAAAGCGCACGUAGGCGGGUCCUUAAGUCAGGGGUGAAAUCCCGGAGCUCAACUCCGGAACUGCCUUUGAUACUGGGGAUCUUGAGUCCGGAAGAGGUGAGUGGAACUCCGAGUGUAGAGGUGAAAUUCGUAGAUAUUCGGAAGAACACCAGUGGCGAAGGCGACUCACUGGACACGUAUUGACGCUGAGGUGCGAAAGCGUGGGGAGCAAACAGG
rnacentral:rRNA from 1 species